UACGUAGGGUGCGAGCGUUAAUCGGAAUUACUGGGCGUAAAGCGUGCGCAGGCGGUUUCAUAAGCCAGACGUGAAAUCCCCGGGCUUAACCUGGGAAUUGCGUUUGGGACUGUGAGGCUUGAGUGCGGCAGAGGGAGGUGGGAUUCCACGUGUAGCAGUGAAAUGCGUAGAGAUGUGGAGGAACACCGAUGGCGAAGGCAGCCUCCUGGGCCAGCACUGACGUUCAUGCACGAAAGCGUGGGGAGCAAACAGG
rnacentral:rRNA from 1 species